UUUCAUAUACUUUAGACAACUACAAAGGAAGGUGCGUCUUCAACCAAAAUUGUCAUUGCAGGAUUUAAUAUGAACAAACCUUUUAUUUUUGUAAUUUGGAAAACAUUUAUACUUAGGAUUAGACUUGAGAAUAGUCACACACAAAGCAAUAUUGCUUUAUUAUUUAUAUUCAACGGCUACUUUGGCUCCAUGGAACACCUGUUUCUCACAGCCCAGCCUUUCCCCUUAAGCUCUAAGGAAGCAAGCACUGGGGCCUUGCUAUACAUUUUCUUUUUGAAGUAACUGAAACAGGAAAACUUACAGUAGAUAUAGAAUACAUCAAACUAUCAUUGCGGAUGUGCAGCAGCAGCAGCAGCAGCAGCAGCAUGAAGCUGUUCUCUUCUUCAGGGCAAUGUGUCUAACCCACAUCACCCAUUUCACACCAUCUCUGUCCCAUCCCUGCCCCACCCCCAAACUACUGGCCAGAAGCAGCCAAUCACUGGAGCUAGAGAACAAUGGCCCUGUUUUCAGUAUGCUUAUCAUUUUCACAUAAAGACCAAAAAAGGAGCUAAGGAAAAAACCAAAGGUAUGUAUUUUAAUGUUUAACAACACGACCCACAUGAAUGCUCCAUCAAAUUUGCUCUUUAACCAAGGCCCAAAUUAAAUAACUACUGAUAUGAGUUUAGAAAAUGGAUUAAUAUAUUACUUUAAGAAGCCAAAAUCCCUUUAGAAAUAAUAUUCAGCAUUUCACGCUUAAUUUACAUACCCAUAACUACUAAAAAAACCCAAAACACCCUUAUUGCAUUCAUUUUUCUAAUGUACUAUUCAAAGUAGGAGUAACAUUUUUAAUGAAACUCCAUAUUAACCAAUCCUAACGCUAAACUUUAGUACACAGUAGAAGAUUCAAUACUUAAUAACCACAUAUAUAAGUCUUCCUUUGGUUUUAAAUAUAUAUGUAUGUGUGUAUAUAUAUAUUUGUACACUUUCAGUUCAUACCUGACAUUUAAAAAAAUAUAAAAAUCCUAGAGUUGAGCCAGCUUCCAUAUAGCAACUGAAUAUGACUAUUUUAGUUUUAAAUCACCAAUUUAAUUCUCACAGUACAUGAUUAUUUGCCCAGGACACUUUGGUAUAGCAGGACUAUAUUCAAAAGUUUAAACAUGGAUUAUACAUUAACUAUUACUUCUUAAAGGCACCUGAUUAACUAAAAAACGUUGCCCUCAGUGGUUGAUUGCUUUUAUUAUCCAAAUACCCUAACCCUUUCCAGAUACAAACUCUAUAAAUAGGACUUUCUCUGAACUAAGUGGAAUUCUUUCCGUCCUAGUUAUCUCAUAUCCGGCACGUAUUCCAAAGGAGGGCUAUGCUUUCUUAGAACCAAAAACAAGGGAUAAGAAAGCCACAUCCUUAAUGAGCCACUAUUUUUACCUUUCCAAGUAAGACUACCCUUUUCAAUGACUAAGUAGGUCUUUGGCCUGCAGGCCUCACAAACCGAUAUUCCAAACUAUCAUCUCCUAGUAUGAAUACAGUACCUAUUAAUUUCUGUACAAAAUGCAUAUUUAACUUACGUAGCACUUGAUAUUCAGACAUUAGCACAGCAUCAAUUAGUAAACUUUGGUGGUUAUUAGAAAGGCAAGGCAAUUAUCAGUUUACUGCUAAAUUUAUGAAUGUUUUUGGUUUUUAAUUUUUUUACUAAAAAUCUCAACUUCAGUAGAUAUUUAUUUUAACCUGGAUCUAAAGGUUUGAAGAUCAACUAAAUAACUUUAAAUCUUUUCCACACUAGUAGUUCUAGUCUUUGAAGAAAAGCAUGUUAGACUUCCAAAGAAAGAGAAUGUGUUUAUUUUGAACUUCUGUAACUCUAAACAAUGUCCUGAAAAAAAUCUGUGCUAAAUUAUCUCAGAAAUUGCUUCAAAAACGGACAACUAUAAGAAAAACAAAAUCUAUGUUUUAAAUAAUUGUUUUAAGUGGUCAAGUCUAAUAUGAGACUUCCACUUCUAGAAAAGCACAUAGCCUAAGAGUGAAUUAUUUCCCUCUCAUGUUUUCCUCUUCUGCCAUCUCCCAAGUUUUAAAAAUCUGCAAACAGGAACCAUGAAUCACCACUAAUGUCAAUGGUAUAUUCUUAGCACAAAGGGGCUCUGAGAAAAUGGAUCAAAAUAUACCAUUUCCUCUACAUCAAUUAUCAAAAAUUUUUUUUAAAAGGCUACAAAACUUCCUGAAUACUCUAAAGGAUUUCUAUUCUUAUAUUAGAGUGAUGAUGUAAACUUAAUCAAUUCUGAAAGGAAUCCAUGCAAAGAAAAAAAAAAGCCUUCUUUGCCAGAAGGUACCUAUGUUCCACAGUGAAAAUCUGGAUUAAAAAGAAAGUCAUGAACAAGAUUUUCCUCCUCCAACUCUUAGUGGAUGGGUCCCUUUUGGGGAUAUUGAGUGUAUGUGAUGUUGGGGGAGGGCAGGGAGAAACAGUAAAGUGGGAAGAAAAGAAGAGGCUGCUAUUGCUUGUAUUCAGUCAUUUCUCUGGCAGGAAUGGAUAGCUAGGGCAAGCAGAAUAUUUGUAACGAAGCUUAAAAAUUCCAAACAACUGGAGGGUUAGCUAAGUGUCUUAAUGUUCCCAACAAAUACACUGAAAAUGGAACCUUAUAAAACCUGGUGGGGAAUGUCAGCUAAACACUGAACUUGAUCUUCAGGAGGAGGGUAAAAUGCUGACAUAUUCAAUUUGCAGAAAAAGUGUCAGGACAGGAAAAAUUCUUAAAGGCAGUGAAAAGUUCUGUCACUUAACGUUAAUAGUAGGCAUUAAUUAGUAAGUUGGAACAGGGAGUCUUCAGUAGAUUGAUGUUUCUAAGUCCCUUUUAGUGGCAGAACUCAAUGAUUCUAAGAAUAUUGGCACUUACAUGGUACACCAUUAAUAUGAAAAGAAAAGCAUACAUAUCUUUAACAUCUGUGGCUUUGAAAGGACCUAAAAUUAACCCAUCAUGUUUUAUUUAACAAAUGACAAUAUUUAAAAGGGCAUAACAGUGUUACAUUCAUUCUUACCUUUUGGAUAAAUUCUUUGAGCCAGCAUGUCAUAGAGAAAAAUGGGCAGCCUUGGAAUCAGGAAGACUUGGGUUCAAGACUUGCCAUUGAUAGACUGUGUCCUGCCCGGGUUCAAGUCCUGCCUUUGACAUACUCACUGGCUUGGCAAACAUGGGCAGAUCACAUAACCUCUCGGUAUAUCCAGGACUCUAAAACUUAAGUUUGCAGCCUGUGUUUGUGGGAAGAGUUUCCAUAACAGAAUUCCCUAAGCUGAUGAAAUCACAGGUUUCAACUUCUCUCCAAAAUUCUUUUCAUUCCUAUAUAAUUCAUUUUAAGCACAACAAAACAACUUUUCUCAUAUACCUAUUUCAUUACUAUGCAGGCUUUGUGGGGCUUAUUUUCCCUGCAUUUUUAUACCAAGAACUUUUUUUCAUUUCUAAAUUUACAGAGCCUAAAUUUCAUUCUAAGAUAGAUUUAUAAAAAAGUUUAGAAACUUCCUUAUUGUAAACACUUAAGGACACUAAUCACAAACUGCUUGACAAAUCUAUUACAAUGUAGUGCACAAUCAAGAACUUCCUUUUUACAAAAAUGCAUGUUUUGCUAAGUAUAAGAGGUGUAAUUAUGAUUUAUGUGUGAAAGUGAAAAGGUUGUUAAUAGAAUUUCGACAAUAGCCAUUAAAGCUUAGAAGUCAGCUUAUAAAGGGCUGAAAAGAACUUUUUUUAGUUAAACCACAUUUCAAAUUAAAUUCAGUUUCUCAAAUAAUUUUGAUUCCUUAAGUGUGUAUUUCCUUAGCAGACUGAUAUAACAUCAAUGCAAAAUAAUAAAUUUUCAUGUAACUAUCAGGGAAUUUAAAAAAAGCAAAAUACCUCAAUUUUAAUAUCUGUAUAGCUCAUGUUCUAGCUUACGUUCUAAUCUUUCUGCAGCCAAACAUCCAUUUUCAUAGUGCUAAUAACAGUUUUAAUUAAUACAACAUAACUAAUCCAAAACAUAGAGGGAAUAAAAUAGAGGUCUUUGGUUUUAAUUUCUUGGUAGUAUAGGGUUGGGGAAGGAAACUAGGCAAUUAUAAUCCAAAAAGUUUCCUCUGUGCAUAUCAGUAAGACAAAUUAAAACAGAAUCCAAUGCACGUAGAGAGAACUUAUGGGACAGUAUAAAUGCUAUAAAUAUAAAACCAUAAAUUGGGGGGAAAAACCCUAUUCUAAUCUUCUGAUCGAUUUUUUUCACAUUUUCUUUCAUUUAUAAACAUAAUAUAAAUUUAAUACUUAAAAGAAUCUGUGGUUUUGUUAGUGUGGGCCCUCCCCAUACUGACACAGAUCUCAAUUCUUCUUUGAUCUGACAGGAAGGUCUCAAUGAGUUACUGUCGCUGAAUUCAUCACCAUGCAGCCAAUCUGGUAUGAAAUAACAAAACAAGCUGCCAUCAAGACAGAUGCCAGAUCCUGCCCUUAAAAAUGUAUCAUGAGGAUAUGAUUUUGCUGUAUUUAGUUAAAGCACACAUGCCAUUGAUACCCCCCGAAUAUAAAAAGACCUAAAGAAGUCCUUCAGCACUUGAUGUAAGUAAUGCAGGAAGAAUUUAUGUGACGACAUGGAAAAGAUCUGACACGAAUAAAACAGGAUGAUGUGUGGACAUGUGAUCUGCAUUGCUGUAGACAAUACUGACACUGAUGUAAUCACAGAGC